GACGAGAUGGCCGAGCGGUCUAAGGCGCUACGUUAAGGAGUUCCUUACUAACAUCAUGAUUCAUGAUUCAUGAUUCCGUAGUCCUAAAGGGCGUGGGUUCGAAUCCCACUCUCGUCA